UACAGAGGGUGCAAGCGUUGCUCGGAAUCACUGGGCGUAAAGCGCACGUAGGCGGCUUUCUAAGUCAGGGGUGAAAUCCUGGAGCUCAACUCCAGAACUGCCUUUGAUACUGGAGAGCUUGAGUCCGGGAGAGGUGAGUGGAACUCCGAGUGUAGAGGUGAAAUUCGUAGAUAUUCGGAAGAACACCAGUGGCGAAGGCGGCUCACUGGCCCGGUACUGACGCUGAUGUGCGAAAGCGUGGGGAGCAAACAGG
rnacentral:rRNA from 1 species